AUGCACUGGCAGGGUUACCUGUGGUCUCAGAAAAUUCCAAAUCUCCCAAGGUCUCCUAAUCCUGUCUGGCUUGUUGUGAUGAUAAUUAAUGGUGAAGAAGAAGGAGGGAGAAGAGAAACAGGAGGAGGAAGAAAAGAAGGAGAGGGAGGAGAAGAGGAGGAGAACAAGAAGGGCAGCAACAGCUUAGAAGACUCCAUGACAGACUCUGACUCCAAAUCUACCCAUGUCAUUGUGCACAGGAUAAUAAAAGAGGAAGAAUUCUCAGCUCUAAUUCUCAUUUGCAGAUCUCUCAUUCCUAACCAGAGACAAUUGUGGAUUGCGUUUCAUCCCACUCAAUUUCGCCGAGUUCAAUCAAAACAUUCUGAAUGCCUACAAUAUGAAACAUAACAUCCCUACUCAUGUUGUUUCACAUCAACGUCCUGUUUGUGCUGGUGUCAGCCCCAAAUGACUUCCACUUCGCCUAAGUGGCCAGCGCUUCUCAAUCUUCAGGUUCUAGCUCAAGCAUCUUCCCUGUGAAGAAUUACUUCAUGACCCAAGAAAGCUGACAAUGUCAACUUAGCCUCCUCACUCUGUGUUAUAUACAUCAAUAAAACAGCAUUUUCCCCACUGAACUUAAAAAUG
rnacentral:lncRNA from 12 species